rnacentral:rRNA from 1 species
AUACGUAGGGGGCGAGCGUUGUCCGGAAUGAUUGGGCGUAAAGGGCGCGUAGGCGGCUUUGCAAGUCAGUAGUGGAAGUCCAUUUUUCAAGGAUGAAGUGCUACAGAAACUGCGGAGCUUGAGUGCAGGAGAGGUUAUCGGAAUUCCCGGUGUAGCGGUGAAAUGCGUAGAGAUCGGGAGGAACACCAGUGGCGAAGGCGGGUAACUGGACUGCAACUGACGCUGAGGCGCGAAAGUGUGGGGAGCAAACAGGAUUAGAUACCCUGGUAGUCCACACUGUAAACGAUGAAUGCUAGGUGUAGGAGGUAUCGACCCCUUCUGUGCCGCAGUAAACACAGUAAGCAUUCCGCCUGGGGAGUACGGUCGCAAGAUUAAAACUCAAAGGAAUUGACGGGG